GGGAAGGUGGCUCAGUGGUAGAGUGCUUGCCUUGCAGGCAUACGGCUCUGGGUUCAAUUCCUUGGCCCCA
rnacentral:tRNA from 1 species